rnacentral:rRNA from 1 species
UACGUAGGGUGCAAGCGUUAAUCGGAAUUACUGGGCGUAAAGCGUGCGCAGGCGGUUGUGCAAGACAGAUGUGAAAUCCCCCGGGCUUAACCUGGGAAUUGCAUUUGUGACUGCACGGCUAGAGUGUGUCAGAGGGGGGUAGAAUUCCACGUGUAGCAGUGAAAUGCGUAGAUAUGUGGAGGAAUACCGAUGGCGAAGGCAGCCCCCUGGGAUAACACUGACGCUCAUGCACGAAAGCGUGGGGGAGCAAACAGG